rnacentral:rRNA from 1 species
GAAGUCGGCACUAGCGCGGUGGUCCCACCUGACCCCAUGCCGAACUCAGAAGUGAAACGCCGUAGCGCCGAUGGUAGUGUGGGGUCUCCCCAUGUGAGAGUAGGGAACUGCCAGGC